rnacentral:rRNA from 1 species
GACGAACGCUGGCGGCGUGCUUAACACAUGCAAGUCGAACGGAAAGGCCCUGCUUGCAGGGUGCUCGAGUGGCGAACGGGUGAGGAACACGUGGGUGAUCUGCCCCUUACUUUGGGAUAAGCCUGGGAAACUGGGUCUAAUACUGGAGAGGACCAUGCUGUAGGUGGUGUGGUGGAAAGAUGAGUUUCGGUAAGGGAUGAGCUCGCGGCCUAUCAGCUUGUUGGUGGGGUAAUGGCCUACCAAGGCGUCGACGGGUAGCCGGCCUGAGAGGGUGGACGGCCACAUUGGGACUGAGAUGCGGCCCAGAAGCCUACGGGGGGCAGCAGUGGAGAAUAUUGCACAAUAGGCGCAAGCAUGAUGCCGCGGCGCCACGUGGGGGGUGACGGCCUUCGGGUUGUAAACUCCUUUCAGCCAUGACGAAGCCCUUGUGGUGACGGUAGUGGUAGAAGAAGCACCGGCUAACUACGUG